GAUGAACGCUGGCGGCGUGCCUAACACAUGCAAGUCGAACGGACAGACGAGGAGCUUUCUCCUCUGACGUUAGCGGCGGACGGGUGGGUAACAAGUGGAUAGCCAACUUCUCAGUCUUUGAGGAUAACGGGAAGAAGGUGCUGCUACUACGGGAUAUUUUGAACCGCUUGGUUCAAUGGUGAAGGACGGUUUUGCUUUCACUGAGAGAUGGAUUCGCGCCGGAUUAGCUAGUUGGUAGGGUAACGGCGUACCAAGGCAACGAUGCGUAGCCGACCUGAGAGGGUGAUCGGCCACACUGGAACUGAGACACGGUCCAGACUCCUACGGGAGGCAGCAGUAGGGAAUGUUCAGCAAUGGGCGAAAGCCUGACGCAGCAACGCCGCGUGAGUGAUGAAGGUCUUCGGAUCGUAAAACUCUGUUAUUAGGGAAGAACAAAUGUGUCAGUAACGAUGCACGUUGUGACGGUACCAAAUGAGUAAGAAACGGCUAACUACGUG
rnacentral:rRNA from 1 species